rnacentral:lncRNA from 1 species
AUUGGGCCUUCGACUUUGCUCAUGUUAGGAUGAGGUUCUCCUCCUGUUCCUAACAAGGAAGGCUGUAGGGGCACAUAAGGGCCGUUGCAAGGGCCUCUCCCCUAUCCGAUCUUUAAGAAAUUGAGCCUUCGACUUUGCUCAUAUUAGGAUGAGGUUCUCCUCCUGUUCCUAACAAAGCUUUGGGGGCACAUAAGGGCCGUUGCAAGGGCCUCUCCCCUUAUCCGAUCUUUAAGAAAUCGAGCCUUCGACUUUGCUCAUGUUA